rnacentral:rRNA from 1 species
UCCGUAGGGGGCAAGCGUUGUCCGGAAUUACUGGGCGUAAAGAGCUCGUAGGUGGUUUGUCGCGUUGUUCGUGAAAACUCACAGCUUAACUGUGGGCGUGCGGGCGAUACGGGCAGACUGGAGUACUGCAGGGGAGACUGGAAUUCCUGGUGUAGCGGUGGAAUGCGCAGAUAUCAGGAGGAACACCGGUGGCGAAGGCGGGUCUCUGGGCAGUAACUGACGCUGAGGAGCGAAAGCGUGGGGAGCGAACAGG